rnacentral:rRNA from 1 species
AGAGUUUGAUCCUGGCUCAGAACGAACGCUGGCGGCAGGCUUAACACAUGCAAGUUGAACGGGAACAUACGAUAGCUUGCUAUAGUAUGUGAGAGUGGCGCACGGGUGAGUAAUACAUGGGAACAUACCUUAAAGUGGGGGAUAACUUCUGGAAACGGAUGCUAAUACCGCAUAUACCCUGAGGGGGAAAGAUUUAUCGCUUUAAGAUUGGCCCAUGGCAGAUUAGGUAGUUGGUGGGGUAAAGGCCUACCAAGCCGACGAUCUGUAGCUGGUCUGAGAGGACGAUCAGCCACAUUGGGACUGAGACACGGCCCAGACUCCUACGGGAGGCAGCAGUGAGGAAUAUUGGGCAAUGGGGGCAACCCUGACCCAGCCAUGCCGCGUGAGUGAAGAAGGUUUUCGAAUUGUAAAGCUCUUUCGGAUGUGACGAUGAUGACGGUAGCAUCUAAAGAAGCCCCGGCAAACUUCGUGCCAGCAGCCGCGGUAAUACGAAGGGGGCGAGCGUUGUUCGGAAUUACUGGGCGUAAAGGGUGUGUAGGUGGACGUGUAAGAUAGCGGUGAAAUGCCGGAGCUCAACUUCGGAAUUGCCAUUAUAACUAUGCGUCUAGAAUUAUAGAGAGGAUAGCGGAAUACCCAGUGUAGAGGUGAAAUUCGUAGAUAUUGGGUAGAACACCAGUGGCGAAGGCGGCUAUCUGGCUAUAUAUUGACACUGAGGCACGAAAGCAUGGGGAUCAAACAGGAUUAGAUACCCUGGUAGUCCAUGCCGUAAACGAUGAAUGCUGGUUGUCGGACGAAUGUUCGGUGACGAAGUUAACGCGAUAAGCAUUCCGCCUGGGGAGUACGGCCGCAAGGUUAAAACUCAAAGGAAUUGACGGGGACCCGCACAAGCGGUGGAGCAUGUGGUUUAAUUCGAUGCAACGCGAAGAACCUUACCAACUCUUGACAUCCUCAUCGGGGAGGACAGAGAUGUCUUCUUUCAGUUAGGCUGGAUGAGUGACAGAUGCUGCAUGGCUGUCGUCAGCUCGUGUCGUGAGAUGUUGGGUUAAGUCCCGCAAC